UACGUAGGCAGCAAGCGUUGUUCGGAGUUACUGGGCGUAAAGGGUGUGUAGGCGGUUCUUUAAGUUUGGUGUGAAAUCUCCCGGCUCAACCGGGAGGGUGCGCCGAAAACUGAAGGGCUAGAGUGCGGGAGAGGAGAGUGGAAUUCCUGGUGUAGCGGUGAAAUGCGUAGAUAUCAGGAGGAACACCGGUGGUGUAAACGGCUCUCUGGACCGUAACUGACGCUGAGACACGAAAGCCGUGGGUAGCAAACAGG
rnacentral:rRNA from 1 species